GAUCAAUAUUUCGGUCAUGCCGUUGGUAUGCACUGUUAUCAUUGAUUUCUCACCUUCUAAAGAACCGUAAUGCCAUUAAUUUGGUGUUACGGGGAAUUAGGACUGUUACCUUGAAAAAUUAGAGUGUUUAAAGCAGGCUCACGCUUGAAUACAUUAGCAUGGAAUAGUGAAAUAGGACAUCCGAUUCUAUUUUGUUGGUUUCUAGGAUCGAUGUAAUGAUUAAUAGGGAUAGUUGGG
rnacentral:rRNA from 1 species